UGGGGAAUAUUGCACAAUGGGCGAAAGCCUGAUGCAGCAACGCCGCGUGAGCGAUGAAGGCCUUUGGGUCGUAAAGCUCUGUCCUUGGGGAAGAAAAAAAUGACGGUACCCUUGGAGGAAGCCCCGGCUAACUACGUGCCAGCAGCCGCGGUAAUACGUAGGGGGCAAGCGUUAUCCGGAAUUAUUGGGCGUAAAGAGUGCGUAGGUGGUUUUGUAAGCGCGGGGUGAAAGGCUAUGGCUCAACCAUAGUAAGCCCUGCGAACUGUGAGACUUGAGUGCAGGAGAGGAAAGUGGAAUUCCUAGUGUAGCGGUGAAAUGCGUAGAUAUUAGGAGGAACACCAGUGGCGAAGGCGACUUUCUGGACUGUAACUGACACUGAGGCACGAAAGCGUGGGGAGCAAACA
rnacentral:rRNA from 1 species